rfam:Acidithiobacillus sp. GGI-221 contig_1300, whole genome shotgun sequence.
GUCAACCACUCCCCCUAAAGCCCUAACGGGUUAUAGGCGGAGCUUGCGGGUAAAACCAAAGGCUCCUGGUUGACCAGGCUCAGUCCCAGAAUACCGGGACUACGUUAUUGGGGUCAGGACACCCUGGAAUGCGCGCCAGUUCCAGGCUCUGUCGGAUAAGGAUUAAACAGCAAGCUGGGAGUAGUGCAAGCCGUGUCCUUGUGGUAUGCGUCGUCCGAAAAAAGCCCCGAUAACCUUGCCGAGGCACACUUUAC